ACACACACGCACCUCCUCUCCUCCCCGAGACCGACUCACUGUCACACGUAAACACGAGGCGAGGAGACGGGUCACUCGGAACAGCUCGGCGCGACGUGGAAGCCGCAGCCGACGCCACAGACGAAACCGAAGCCAAAGUCGUCUGUGCUGUGAUUGUGGCGACUUUAAGAUGGUGACAUAGUGAUCUCUCUCCGUGGCCUGGACGGUCUUGCUGCCAAGCCAAGUCCUGGGCUUUAGAGCGAAGAGGGAAACGGCAAACACGGCGAAAAGUUAUCUGCUUCCGCUUUCGGCAAGGCCCUGGACAUCUGCUGUGGACGUCCGCUGGCUGGUCGGCUGCUGGAGCCCAUAUCCUUUUGCAAGAAUGGACUGCUUAUUUUUUCACGAGAUUUUUUUAAUGAUUAUCGUCGUGAAACUGAUAGAAUGUCGCGGAUCAAGCGUCUGGCUGAGGAGCUGAAUCCUUAUACAAAGGGACUUCUUAUUUUUGUCUGGCAGCACCAUGUUUCCUUCUGGCCUUUAUGAUGCAGGGAAUCAGGGGUCCCUCGACAGAGCUUUACAUCCUCUGUCUCUCUGUCUCUGCCCCCAACCCCACGCCUCGGUUGAUUCAGCCAGCGAGGGUCAUGCCUGGUACGAGUGUGGAGGACGAGGGUGACAGGGUAAAUGGGGAAAGCUCUCUCUCUCUCUCUCUCUCUCUCUCCUUCUGGCUUCAAAGGGCGGGAACAGUGUAGACUUUCUCGCAAUGGUAUUUCCUCGUGUUGAUAGACCGCUGUUUCUCAUAGGAGUCUUUUUUUUUCUUUCUUUCUUUUUUUGACUCGUUUCGUAUGUCUUCCCAAGUUCGAUCGGGCGAGAGAGGCAUCCUAUUGAGGCGCUUUGUUUGAAGACUGGCUAAUGGUACUGGGUUUUAGUGCGUUAUUCAACCGGUUAGUGCGCCCCGAAUGGCGGAGACUUAAUAGACGAUUUAGAUCCUGUAUUUACUGGGAUCGUGUUGUCUUUCUUAUUCUUUUCCCCAGCUGGUCAUUAGCUUAAUCGAGGUCAUUAUAAGCCCAUCCCAAGAGGCUUACCUACCUAAUAACGUUUGACUUACGGGCACCAUUACCAAUCAAAACAUACGAGCUUAUAACAGAGUCUCUCAUCUGUAUAAGAAGAGCUCCUCGGCAUUCAAAUGUUCUCUCUUCCACACUCCAUUUCAACGACGAAAAUUUCCUAAAAACAACACAUAACCUGAGAAAAUUCUAGUCAAACAGGAAUGAUCUAGGACAAGACGCUCUGCGAUUUGUUUCCAUGUCACUGAAAAGUAACAGACAGUGCUGAAGAACGCGUCAGUGCUUCGACAGUUUUACAGUACCCUUGACUUAGGUGACGAGAGAAUUUACUUUAUAAUAAUGCCACUCCUUGUAUUUAUUCAUGUGUGAUAAUUCCCCAGUCUUAUAUUUUGUACUGAUGUCUUGUACGGAACUCUAUAUUUAUAAUGGCUCGCUCUCACGUAGCGCACAAAAGGAAUAUUAGUGCAAUUUUUGGAGAACGAAAUCCAAGAUUCUGAUUAACUAUAAUUUUUCCCAGUGUUGACAGUGGCUUUAUUUUUUGUCUAUUUAUUGAUUGAUAUGGACAUAUUUUUGGUAGAGGACUAACGAUAGACGGUUUACUUAUUGCUGACAAUAUUAUUUAUUUAUUUUGCUUAUAGUGCAUAGACGUGUUCAGACAUGUUAGAAUUAGAAGUACAAUUUUUUUCGAUAGAUUAUCCUGUAUGGUAUUUUACCCAGUUAAAUCAGCAAGCAUUACAUAUACUACUUGAAGAGAUAACAGUUCGCUUCGGGUUAUGGUUACUAUGAUAAAAUUUAGUGCUAGGAUGUUUUAUGUGUUUGUUUCUCUAUAGACUUUUUUCCCUGACAUUCAACUCAGUACAAAACGACUUUCCUGUCGACUGUAGAGUGUGACCUCAUUAACGUGACUCACCAGCUCAUUAAGAACUGACUUCCGGUCGUUAGCUAAUUAGAAAUCCGAAGGAUAAUUAACCUAAUAAACAACAGCGUUGCUGACGACCGUUGAAUAGGUGACAGCGUGGCACGUUUUAACAUUAGACUGACUGCGUCAUGUUAUUACUGAUAAAGAUAAGAUAAUUUUCUUUCUUUGAGACUUGAUGGUGACAAUCGAUACAAGUAGCAGUAUACACUAGAGUUAGUGACGUUCUCCCGUAUGACAUGACUGACUUCGUUACAGGACACCAUUUUCUCUCUCUCUCUCUCUCUCUCUCUCUCUCUCUCUCUCUCUCUCUCUCUCUCUCUCUCUCUCUCUCUCUUUCAAAAAGCCUUUUAUUUGACAUUUUCAGGAACGAUUUAACUGUUUAUGACAGCAUAUUAUAACUUAAUACUGACUGACAAAACUCGAUAUUAAGAGUGACAAUAUAGUUCCGGUUAUGAUAGUGACAAACUUGGAGAGGACUUGAUAACGACAUUCUACGAGACAGUGACCUGACGGUGACAUCUCCCUUGCUUCUUAUAACUGACAUUUCGAGUUAAGCCAUUUUAUGGUGACAGGUGACGUCGGUCGAUAGUAACACUACAAAAACUGUAAGAUAUUCUGACGAAAGACCGACACAUUGAUAACAAGAGCCUCGCAAAUCUCGUGACAGUGACAAUGAAAGAAGACUUGAAAACGACGCUUGACAGUGACGUUUUUAGCAAGACCUAAAAUACGUUAGAAUAUAUCUCACCAGACUUGCUUUCGACAGACGAUAACGACAGGUUAGACAAGAACUUUGUGACUUUGGUAGUGACAUACUAACAGACGCAACUGUGACACACCCAUCACGAGAAAGUUAUCUGCCCCAAAUUACUCCAUCGGCGUCUCAAACGAACUUUCUAACCAAUGACUUCUAAUGGUAAUAUUGAUGAUGAUGACGAAGAUGGCGAGCAAAUUCCAGACGAUAAUGACAUCAUUCAUUUUCAGCUAGUGCCGAAUCUUCACUAGAAAUUGGGUAGUUAUCACUGCCUCGUAAAGGACCCAUUGACGGUGACAAAUAGCUCUCGCGUUCAUGACUGUGACAACCCAAUUUCAGAGAUUGGCAAUUGAUGAUAACUUCCUUAGUCUGUACAGUGACAACGCGUCUUAAUUUCUGACGAUGACUUUACCCCUCAUAGGUUUAAUGGUCGUGUUAACUCCUUACCUACGGACAAGACUCAUAAGAUUGUAACUGUACUGAACUGUAACUUUCCUGACUCAUGACAUGGUGUUUUGAUAUGAAUGAUAAGGUGACUAGGGACUGACUGCCUUCAUUUUAGUAACGUCUCAUCAAACAAUACUCAUGACAUUAUGAACAGUUACAAUAGCUAGACCAUUAGACUUACGGUCACAAAAUAAUAAUAAUAAUAAUAAUAAUAAUAAUAAUAAUAAUAAUAAUAAUAAUAAUAAUAAUAAUAAUAAUAAUAAUUUGGAACACGAUAAUGACCAUCGUAGUUGUACUAAUAUGACAAAAUACCACCAAAUAUAUGAGACUGCAGCUCGACGUUCGAUGUGUAGAGAAAAGGGCUACUAAGCGCUUUUGUAGUGAAAAAUAUUCGAAUUUUUAAUAGCGACUGACCGCCGAUAACACUCUUCAAUAAAUAACGUUCCUUCGACAGACAGUUGUGACAAAAACUCGUAAUCCCUCGUAAUGACUGACGGUGACAGAUAAUGGCCGAACUACUGAUAGUGACAAUUCGACAACUGACAGUGAAUUUGACAAAUGACAACACGGUCAUGUAAACUUGUUUGUUUUAUUUAAUUAUUUAUUUAAUGACUGGACAAGUGAAAAACUGAAAUCCAUGGUAACAGCCACUUAACAGGCCGAUGAAGCUUACAUCCAGCUUCGUGAUAGUGACAAAAGGCUGGACCAUCAGGCUACUAACUGUGGCGUCUUUUCUUACAGUGUCAUCAUGGCAGAUCUGAUUGUGACAUUUUUUUCAUAUCUUUUAAUGGUUCACUGACAGAUUGGAGACCAUUUUGUUAAUAUUACUAACGACCAGACUAUUACCAUGUGAUGGAUAGUGCCAGUUACUAUAGACUUAGUAGUGACUUAUUAUAAAGACACGUUUAGCUGUUACUAGUGACACUUAAGACUUCGGUACUACCGUUUGCAAAUAGCUUACUCGUAAACUACCAAUUAUGACAAAAACUUAUGAUAAGAGCUUUCAGCACUUUAAUUCAAAUAUGUCUCACUGUUUUCAGUGAUCAUUCAUUCAAAAGGGGGCAACUUGGGUUGAAUUAGAGUAUUUAAAUAUUGAUAUUAGGCUUGUUUUACUAAAUGCAGUGCUUAAAUUGGUCUGCGAAGGGUAAAAAAAUACUGUUAUUAGUGACUGUGUCUGAAAAAAAUUAAACUGACUUCCAAGUGGCAGUAGUAUCCUCUUUGACUUUUAUGUUGACAAUUAACUAUAUUACUGUACAGUGACAGAAGAUACGGUGACUAUUGGACUUUAGGGUGAAAAUUACUGAUUUACUAAUUUACAGUCGCCACUUGACUACUUGCAGGGACUUUGCAACCAGACUAUUGUGACAUUUCAGGCUUUAUAGUGACUUGACUUUAUGGUGACAAAUAUUUACAGACGACAAUUAUUUUCCCAGCAGCGAAAUGGGAAAAGGUGACAAUAGGACACUGACAGACUAGUGACAGCUUCACUUCAGAUGUUUAGCGACACUGGCACUUCUUCUCUUGACAGGUGACAACCAACGAGUGCCUGGUACUUGACAGAGAGCAGACAUGGCCAAAGUUGCUUCACACUGACUUGGCAAGUCAUUGACACGACUCAUAUACCAAGAUCUCAGGGAACUUGACAACAAUUACAACUACCAUGGCCACUACUUACCAUCACGAUUAACUGCCAUGAUCACUAACUGCCACGAUCGGUGAUUACCAUAAUCUCUAACUAAUGUCAUCACUAAUUACCAUGACAUAAUUACCACUGAUUACCAUUGCAAUUACACAAGACUUGACACCCACUGACACUUCCGACUUGAACAAAUACUACCUGGUUUGACACCUCACUUGACAGCCACAUGACAAAUUACUUGACAGCUUGCUAUUUUGAUAAACUACUCGACAGCUUACCAGCUAGACUAUCUAGGACUUGACAGCUUACUCAUUCAACCAUCUAGAACUUGACAUGUUACUAAUCACUGUUGACAAUCACUGACUUGACUACUUGCUAAUUCGACUAAGACUUUACAGCUUACUAGUUCGACCAUCUAUAACUUGACAGCUUCCUAGUUCGACUACCUACGAAUUGAGAUUACUAAUUUGACCUUCUAUAAAUUGACAGCUUACUGAUUUGACCAUCUAGGACUUGGCAACUUACUAUUUCGAUUGUCUAAGACUUGACAGUAUACUAUUUCGACCUUCUAUAACUUGACAGCUUACUAGUUCGCAUACCUAAGACUUAACAGCUUAUCAGUUCAACCAACUACAACUAGACAGCUUACUAGUUCGGCCAUCUGACUUGACAGGUUACUAAUUUGACCAUCUAGGGCUUGACGGUUUAAUCUGAUCAUCUAGGACUUGACAGCUUACUAAUUUGACCAUCUAGGACUUGACAGCUUACAAGGUCGACCAUCUAAAACUUGACAGCUCACUAUUUGGACCAUGUAUGGCUUGACAGAUUACUAGUUCAACCGUCUAAGUUUUGGCAGCUUACUAGUACGACCAUUUAGGACUUGGCAGCUUACUAAUUUUACCAUCUAGGGCUUGACAGCUUACUAGUUCCACCAUCUAGGAUCUGGCCGCUUAUGGAUUCGAUCUAAGACUUGACAGCUUACUAGUUCGAGUACCUAAGACUUGACAGCUUACUAAUUCAACCAUCUAAGACUUGACAGAUUACUAGUUCCACCGUCUAUGAAUUGAUAGCCUUCUAAUUUAACCAUCUAGGACUUGACAACUUACUAAGUUGACCAUGUAGAACUUGCCAGCUGACUAAGAUGACCAACCAGGACUUGACAGCUCACUAGUUCAACCAUCUAAGACUCGACAGCUUACUAAUUUGACCAUCUAGGACUUGACAGCCAAUAGGUUGACCAUCUAGGGCUUGACAGCUCGCUAGUUCAACCAGACUUAGCAGCUUACUAAUUUGACCACCUAGGACUUGACUAGUUCGAAUAUCUAAGACCUGAUAGCUUACCUUUUGACUUUUUAGGACUUGACAGUUUACUAUUUUGACUUUUAAAGACUUGACAGUUUACUAUUUUAACUUUUAAAGACUUGACAGUUUCUGUUUUGACUUUUUAGGACUUGACAGCUCAUCAGUUCCAAUAUCUAAAGCUUGAUAGCUUACUAAUAUGACCAUCUAGGACUUGACAGUUUACUAAAUUGACCAUCUAGGACUUGACAGCUUACAAGGUCGACCAUCUAAUGCUUGGCAGCUUACUAUUUAGACGAUCUAGGACUUGACAGAUUAUUAUUUCCACCAUCUAGGACUUGACAGCUUACUAGUUCCGUCAUCUAUCACGUGACAGCUUACUAAUCUCACUAUCUAGGACCUGGCAGCUUAUUAAUUCGAUCAUAUAAGAUUACUAGUUCACCAUCGAGGACUUGACAGUUAAUUUGACCUUAACAGCUUACUAGUUCCAUCAUCUAUAACCUGACAGGUUACUAAUGCCACCAAGUAGGACUUGACAGCCUACUAGUUCCGCCAUCUGGGAUUUCACAGCCCACAGACACGAUCUUCUGAUCGGUCACAACCAAGACUGACUGACCGCCGCCAAGUGACACCAGAAGGCACCUCGGGACCAAAACAGUAACGGCGACAUAACAUCACGUGAAAGGUUUACGGUUGACAACUCAUUACUUUUGACAGCUCAUGACUGUGACAAACUGAGCGUUAGCAGCUCAUGCAGAGACAUUUUGACUGCUGAAAUCUCAUACCAUGACAGCUUGACAGGUGACAAAUAAUUUUAAGGUUUGACUGCUCUUUUUGUUACAGUUUAACUUUGACAGCUUAUACUAACAUGCUGUUGACUAAUAUAGUGGUAACUAGAUAUUUGAGAGCUCAUGACAAGGCAUCUUGACAACAGAUAUUGUGGCAGAUAGACAUAUUAACAGCUGACGGGGGCAUAUUGAUUGUUGACAACUCAUGCCAUGACAAUUCUACUGUUGUAACUUCCCGAGUAUUGACAGCUCGUUUGAUGUUUCAGUCUGAGUGCUUCUAGCUCAUUUAGACUGUAGACUGCCCAUGACAAUAUAACUGUUGAUAACUCUUGACAACUCAUUAUAGCUUGAGAACUCGUGACAACUGUUUACUGUUGAAACUGUGACAAUAUGAGUUUUCAACAUGACAACCCAUGAAACUUAGCCAAUUGGAAAGCUUGGUUGAUGGUUAUUAAAACUCUUAUUGUGAUAAUUUGUCGGUUGACGACUCUUGACAACUUGACUUGAAAUUCUUACUGUGACAAUAUGACUGUUGACAACUCAAGACAACUGCGCUGUUGAUAGCUAAUGUGACAACCUGACCGCUGACAUCUCAUGACAAUUUUGUCGCUAAAACGACAAUGCGACAAUUUCACAGUUGACAACUGAUGAUAACUUGACAGUUGGAAUUUUGUGACAAUUUGACUGUUGACCACAGACUUUAACCGACUGCCGAGACUCUUACGGUAACAAUUUGACAGGUAGCAACUCACAACAAUUUGACUGUUUAGCUAAACAGUUUACUGCUAACACCAUGAUACCUAGGCAGCUUAAAUGCUAAGAACGGGACUCCCUUAGGACACGUAGACACCCCAUGGAAUCUCAACUGUCGAACUUAAUGUGACAACCUGACUUCUCUUGACAACUUGACAACUAAAACUCUCACGUGAUAAAUUGACUGUUUGACAACUCAGGACAGAAGUAUGAAACUUACUGGAACUAAUACUCUGUGACCUGACUCUUGACAACUCUUACUAUGACUUGACACCUCUUACUAUGACUUGACACCUCUUACUAUGACUUGACACCUCUUACAGUGACAUGACUCUUGACAACUCUUACUGUGACCUGAGUUGACAACUCUUACUGUGACAUGAAUUUUGACAACUCUUACAGUGACAUGACUCUUGACAACUAUUACUGUGACCUGACUUGACAACUCCUACUUUGACCUGACUCUUGACAGCUCUUAAUGUGACCUGACUCUUGACAGCUCUUAAUGUGACCUGACUUUUGACAGCUCUUAAUGUGACAUGAUUUGACAACUCUUACUGUGACCUGACAUUUGACAGCUCAUAUUGUGGCAUGAUUUGACAACUUAAUGUGACCUGACUCUCGACAAAUCUUAAUGUGACUUGACUCUUGACAGCUCUUAAUGUGACCUGACUCUCGACAAAUCUUAAUGUGACUUGACUCUUGACAGCUCACUGUUGAAAACUUGACUACUCAUUUUGUGACAGCUUGAUUGCUGACAGAUCAUGGUGUGACUCCCUGACUCUUGUCUGUAUAUCCUAAUGAACCUUACUCUUUUACUAUUCAUGUUGUGACAACAGAUACCGUAACCAUUUGACAGUUGAUAACUCAUACCAUGACAACUUGACGACUGACACUUAUAUUGUGAUAAUUUGACUUAAAAAUACAGUAAGACUGCUUGACUGCUGACAAUUCAUAUUGUGACAUCUUGGCAGUUGACAGAUCACAAUAAGACAGCUGUUGACAGUUCAAGAUAUGUUAACUUGACUGCCGACAAUUCAGACUAUGCCAAUGUGAACACUGAAACUCACAAUACGACAAUGUGACUAAUGACAAAUGUUGUGACUUGACUGCUGACAUGUCAAAAGAAUGACUGGUAACAACUGUUGUGACAACCUGACUUGACAUGUUAAAAAAUGGCUGUUGACAAUUGCCUUAACAACUUGAUUGCUGACAUGUAAAAAAAAUAACUGCUGACAACUGUGACAACUUGACAAAUAACAUGUUAAAAAUGACUGUUGACAACUACUGACAUAUUUAGAGUAUCUGACUUGUGACAACUACUGCGACUACUUAAUCGUUGCCAAGCCGCUUCCUGCCUGUUGACAUAUGCUGCGACAACAUUACUUUGACAACCACGACCAUCAAAAUUAAUCAUUACUAACCACAAGGCGACUGUGAUUAGACUCAUGACUGGAUUAUGUAGCUAAUUUAACUGUUGUGACUUUUUAACUGUUCAGUAUAAUAUCGUCUUAACCGUCAUUACUUUUUGGCCAUUCAGUAUACUGCCAAUCCUUGACAACCCACUUAAGUAUCAUGACCUACUGACUAUUCAGUAUAGUACCAACUGAAAUGUCACGACCCUUUGACUAUUCAGUAUACUGUACUACCAACUUAACUACAAUGGUAUAUUGACUGUUGAGUGUAUUACCAACCUAACUGACAUUCAGUAUACUACUACGACAUACUGACACUUGAGGCACUACCAGCCUUACUGUUAACUUCCAUGACCAACUAACUGUUAAUUUUUACAAUCGACUGUUCUAACUCCUACUAACAACAUCCAGACUACUAACCAUUCGACCACCUGACUGUUCCAUUUUCCGACCACCAUGACAGGGCUUGCACCUGCCAUCUCCUUAACGACUCAUUUCUGAGCAGAGUACCAUUCAUAACGACCAAUCACCUUUCACUACGAUCCACCCUCUCGCAGACGACAACCUGACUCAAAUUACUAGGUAUGACAGUGCAAAGACACCUGCUGGAAUUACCGCGUCGCAUUAAAAGUACCUAGCCAUAUUAUUCACCAUGCCAUAGCCUUUUUCUUCAUUUGCCAUUAACAAGGACACCCCCUACCUGUUUCGUCUACCAAAAAUCAUUAUUUUCCCUUGGAAUUUCCCCCUAGAGAGUGACUUAAAUGUUUGUAGUGACCAACAGUAUCCGAACUGUCAGUAUUAUGAAUAAGUUAUGAAUAACGACCUUCCACUAACAGAUUGCAGGCUUUGACGGACAUGACUAACCACAAGGACGACUACCAUCGACAGAGUAAGUACUGACAUCGACCCCCUCAUACGACUUCUUUUCGCACGACUUCAUAAUUCACGACAAAUGACUUCCUUUCCUGAAUGCAUGACACUCACGACUCAUCGCUAUUACUAACUCAUGACUUAAAAUUGCCGACUUGGGACCAAUAUCUGUUAAUCGACUCAUAUUCCAUCUGUUGGCUAACUCAUGACGAAUAUGUUCAUCCACUAAUGACGAAUUUCUGUUACUUAACUCAUGGAGAAUCUGUUACUUAACUCAUGACGAAUCUGUUAAUUAGUUCAUGGUGAAUCUGUUUAUUAACUCAUGACGAAUCUGUUAAUAACUCAUGACGUAUCUGUCUAUUAACUCAUGACGAACCUCUGUCAACAUGCUAAAUCAUACAUAUCCCUACUAUACCCUACGCGCGACUGAAGUCAAGACUUUGAAAAGUUUUAAUUGAUUUUGGAUUAGUUAUCCCCACCGAUAACACCAAAGAAAACGGGAUUUACGUUUUCCGUAUAGGACCCUAUGUUUAUUUCAAACUGAGACUAUUAACCAAAACUUAACAUAAUGACUAACUUUAACACUGUGACCAGACCAGAAUUUAAUGACACGACUGAAGCUGAUAAUUAACACUUUCACUUAAGCUGAACGACCCAUAUAACAGACUGCCAAAGACGUCGUUUCUGACAAUGUUUAAUAACAGAUGUUACUAACACUGAUUACUUGUAAUCAAUAAACAACAGCUUUUUGCAUAUCAUAGCAUCUAGAUUUUGAUAUUUUAUGUUUUGUGCAUUUGUGAAUUACUCGAAUAACAAUAACAUAAGACGACUUCUUCCAUAAGGACUGGCGACUUUGUGACCAUUAUCGCUGAAAAAAUUACAAAGUCACAGAUUUUCACCGACAGACUUCCGAUGUCAUGACUCCUCACGAUAAUGACGACCCUUGACUUCCAUUUUCGAAGUACGUAUCUCCGCAUAGUUACGUAUUUAUGACAACGACCUGUUUAGUCUUCCCAACAAGACCCAUGACUACCAUUAUGGAGACAGAAAAAAAAUUGGAGUAAUGAGUUUUAUCCGUGGCUGGACUUUGAGGAUUCGCACAUGACGCUUAUUUUGACGUAUUCUGAGACCGGUUUGUGUGACGACCCUUGACCUUGGCCUUGACCUUGUGUUCCCUGACUUAGGAGACGACUUUUCUUCUCAGACGAGAUAGUUGCAAGUACUGAGGCAUUAUGCAUAUAUAUGUAUGCAUAUGUAUAUGUAUAUCCUUGUGCACUGACUUUAAUGACAUGCGCAGUUCCUAGACUAAAAUGUUAAGCAUCAUUUAAAAUUCUGCCUACUCAUCCAUUGUCAAAUAUGCAUUAUACAUAUGCAUAUGUUUGUGUGUAUGCGUGUGUAUGUAUGUAGGCAUGUAUAAGUAAAUAUAUGUAUAUAUGUAUAUGUAAGUAUGCAUUUGUAUAUGCACAUAAAUACACGUACAUGCACACGUACGCACACUGCUAGAUGUUACUGAUAAAGGGCAGACGGAACUUGAAUAAAUGGAUGUGCUUAACCGCUACAUAUUCUUCCAUGUAUUAAAAUGUUAGAGCUGUACAGUUGACCUGUCUGGAACCAAAACUUCUCUCACGUUUUCACCAAUUCUGUUUUCUUAUUAUGUAUCGUUUUUAUUUGUUAAUCAUCUGUGUAAGUAGGUAAUUUGAUCACAUUUGAUUUGAUAUCAAAAGUGAUGGACACAUUCCCACCAGAACAGAUAAACAAAUAUUGUUAGUGUGAUUAUAUAUUGCCCUCCCCCCCACCGCCGCCGCCUAGGAUAAUCGUGAUGACAUUUAUAUAUGUGAUCAUGUUUACAUAUUUAUUUAUUCAGAGAAAGGAUAUUGGACUAAUUAAACCUCAUUUGUAUGAAGUGUUGAAGGUUAGAUGCUCCAUUGGCGGAUGAGAGGAAGCGCAAAACUUCCUUUCAUGGAUAAUAACCCACCGUGUUACUUACUCUUUGAUCUCAGCUGUGUACGUUUAUUUGUAUUUAAUAUAUUUAUUGAAUUUGUAUAUGCAAAUACUGAUAAAAAGGGGAGGUUUAUCGGUGAAUCAGAGAUGAGUUCGGAGGACGCAGCCCACGAUGUAACGAAAAAAUGAAAUGAAUUUAGGUGUCGUUUCCGUCCUGAUUUCCUGUCGUUUCUCCGUUGCCUCGUUGAAGAGGAUUGCGCAAACAACCGUGAUGUCAGUGUAAAUGUAACGAAUAUAUUUUCCAUGAGAAUUUU